rnacentral:rRNA from 1 species
GAUGAACGCUGGCGGCGUGCUUAACACAUGCAAGUCGAACGAAGCACCUUGAUUUGACUUCUUCGGAUGAAGAUCUUGGUGACUGAGUGGCGGACGGGUGAGUAACGCGUGGGUAACCUGCCUCAUACAGGGGGAUAACAGUUAGAAAUGACUGCUAAUACCGCAUAAGACCACAGCACCGCAUGGUGCAGGGGUAAAAACUCCGGUGGUAUGAGAUGGACCCGCGUCUGAUUAGGUAGUUGGUGGGGUAACGGCCUACCAAGCCGACGAUCAGUAGCCGACCUGAGAGGGUGACCGGCCACAUUGGGACUGAGACACGGCCCAA